rnacentral:rRNA from 1 species
UACCAGCACCCCGAGUGGUCGGGACGAUUAUUGGGCCUAAAGCAUCCGUAGCCGGCCUUACAAGUCCUCCGUUAAAUCCAGCUGCUUAACAGAUGGGCUGCGGAGGAUACUAUAAGACUAGGAGGCAGGAGAGGCAAGCGGUACUCAGUGGGUAGGGGUAAAAUCCGUUGAUCCAUUGAAGACCACCAGUGGCGAAGGCGGCUUGCCAGAAUGCGCUCGACGGUGAGGGAUGAAAGCUGGGGGAGCAACCGG